UACGAAGGGGGCUAGCGUUGCUCGGAAUUACUGGGCGUGAAGGGCGCGUAGGCGGACAGUUUAGUCAGAGGUGAAAGCCCAGGGCUCAACCUUGGAAUUGCCUUUGAUACUGGCUGUCUUGAGUUCGGGAGAGGUGAGUGGAAUGCCGAGUGUAGAGGUGAAAUUCGUAGAUAUUCGGCGGAACACCGGUGGCGAAGGCGGCUUGCUGGGCCAUCACUGACGCUGAGACACGAAAGCGUGGGGAGCAAACGGG
rnacentral:rRNA from 1 species